AAGACAAUGAGUGGCAGAAGAUGACUAAUCGAAAAAGAAGAAAAACAGUAAUUAAAAUCCAAGAGUGAAGACACUGUAAUGAAAGCAUUGGAGAAAAUUACCUGCUUUGUAUGCUCUCCAUCAUCGAAGUCUUCUGGAAACUUAGGCGAAGUGGGCUGAAAGAAUACAAUAUUCAAAUCAGCACAUGCUUGGCAAGCUGCCACAGUGAAAACAUUUAUUUCCCAGAGCCUCCCACAACAUUCCCACCAGCGACCACCGGGAGGCGCUGUGUGAACGAGCGCGGCGCACAGGAUCUCACCUGGAUAUACAGAUAAUGCACAGCUUCAACAACAGCUGAUGGCUCACUUUCAUGGCAACUGUUCUUCCCAUUGCAGUCUUCAUUCUAAUCCAAGAGGAACACGGGAGAACUCAAAAAAUGGGAACAGGGGGGCACCUGGGUGGCUGAGUGGGUUAAGCCUCUGCCUUUGGCUCAGGUCAUGAUCCCAGGGUCCUGGAAUUGAGCCCUACAUCAGGCUCUCUGUUUGGCGGAGAGCCUGCCCCUCCUUCCUGCCUCUCUGACUACUUGUGAUCUCUCUCUCUCUCUGUCAAAUAAAUAAAUAAAUAAAAUCUUUAAAAAAAAAAAUGGUAACACGAUCAUCACCCUCCUCAGGCUCUUUGUGCCCACCCUCACCCGACAGGCCAACAUCCUAUCGCCUCAGAGAAGAGGACCAAGCAGGACGCAGCCUCUGUCCUUUAGACACCACCAGCACUUCAAAGGCAACUGUGCUAUUACCAGAAACUACUGUAGAGUUUACAGAAAUGAAGUCGUGGCACUCUACCCCCUCUCAUGGAAGUUUCCUCUGCAUUAACAACGGCCAGUCCUAGUUGUCAGUGCCACGCAGCGGCAAUCGGGGGCUCUGCUAGUCUGGGCAGAGGAGGAUGCAGGACUGCGUGGGGUCCAAGGCCUCAAACGGUGUUUUUCAAACUUUUCAGACCGUGACCCACAUGAAGAAAUAUAUUUUAUAUCAUACCCAAUUCACAGACUCAUGUGAGACAUGGUAUACACACAGGUUACUUUUCCUAGUGUGAUGCAUGGUCUCCACUCUUCCCUACAGCACUAAAAAUUAAAUAAAGCUGGCUGCAGGCCUGAAAAACUCUUUCAUUGCCGGUUCAGGAUCAUGACUCAGUGCUAAAACACUGUGCUAGACAGUAAUCCAGAUUAACUGGUCAUAGAGACCAACAUAACUCUAAUAGGCUCUUUAAUUACUUAAAUCGAUCCCUAUCUCCAACCACAUCAAGUUUCCCCAAAUCUUCUAGGAAAUGGUGUUCAUUCAAAAAAGCAAGACAAAACAAAACCCAGCAUGUCAAUUUACCCCUCCCCUCUAAAAACAGGUAUGUGUGGUUAUGUGGACAAUCUAAAAUAUAAGGCCCAUGAAUAAUAAAUUAAACUAUCGUGUUUUAAAAUUGAUAAUUUCUAUAUCGGCCUAUUAGAGUGAGGCUUUACUCUUCCACCCAGGGUUUUUAACAUCAAGCACUAGUUUUCUUACAUGGCCAUCCCUGAGAAAAAGGUGUAAUUUCUAUUUAUAUAUUUACCUGAUUCUGACUCUUACUGUUCUCAUCUUCAAAGAUGAUAUCGCUGUCAGAAUCUGAAGCAGGUCUUAA